UAGGCACACUUAAAGUUAUAGC
rnacentral:miRNA from 1 species